ACCAACAGGUGGCUCUGUAGGACUCCACCUGCAGCUGCACACCUGUUGGUCAUUGUGUCAUUAGUUGUCUGUUUAAAAGGACUACCGACACGCCCACUCGGUGUUGGGUCAUUGUCUCUGUUGCUGUUUCUGUUAGUUUUUUGCUUCAGCCAUGGUUUUUGUUUGUUACUUUGGAUUCUUUUUGUUUUCAUGACUUUGUGUUGGAUUUAGUUUCCUCAGUCUUUUGUUAAUAAUGUUUGUCUAGUUCACCCUGCUCUUCCUUCCUGCCUGCUUUAUGGGGUCCUCCACCAUCACUCAAAAAGAGGCUGGAGGAAAAGGCCGGCGGUUCCCAGGAUGCACACCAGGACAAAAACCCACAGAAAGAUGCGGUCGAUCACCAUGGCGACGUAUUUCCAAUCGUCCUGAACCUGUGAGAGGAGCGACAAUGACAAAGCAGGGAAUGAACACGAGCAAGCGGUAGGCCCCUGACACGUCGGCCAUCAUCUGGGGUGUGAAGUCGUAAAGGUUAUGAAUGGCGGGGAGUGAUUCGCUGAGAUGGAAUGAGGUGACGAGGCGGGCUUUUAAUUAACUUUUCGCCUGGCGCUGAUGUGGAGGACAGAAGAGCAGGAUAAAUCAGCUAGGACAACAGCAAUCUGCUGCUUUAUUGGUGCGUACACAAGAACCUCGGCAUGACGAUGUGCAUGUCAAGCAGAUCUUUUGCCGGUGACAUGAACAAUACACAUUGGGCCAUUACAUUUGCUUCAUUGAACAAUGUGAAAAUGGUGUAUGACGAGAAUGUAACUCAGUAGAGCGCAGACCUGCACAAAGGCUGAACUGCUGAUUUAUGUGUCAAGCAGGUUACUUCCUGGUUCAUGCUGGAUGAUGGUCAGUCAGAUGGGAGUUCACCAUCAUGAUUCUGAGGGGAUUGUGCCGCUUCUAUUAAUGGCCAAAUAGAUAUAAAGCAUAACUGCAGCUUAUCCGGACCUUCACCGAAAUAUAAAGAAGUUCAGAUAUAAAGGCCGGCAAAAAUGCUGACUCGUCGGUGAUCAUGUUGAAAGUUGAGUAGCUAUGAUGUCUUCUUUUUUUUUUUUUUUUAAAGUCUAUCUCUGGUGUGUGUGUGUGCGCAAACAUACAUGUCACCAUUGUAACUCUAACUGCAGAGCUAACAUGGUGACAUGCUCUCACACACACACGCACACACACACACACACACACACACACUUUACAAUAGUGGCAUUUGUCACUGUAUGAAAGCGAAUGACUGAGUGUGCUAAACUGGAACCUCGACCUUUCGUAGCAUCAGUAUUGCCUCCUGACCUCUCUGUUGAGAGCAUACAAUGUCUGCUGCAGGACCGGCCUGCAGUAUCGGUGACCCAGAUAUUUGUCAUUCCUCCCUUGAGAGGUUCAUUGCUUAUUGCAUGUGUGACUCCCUGCAUGAGAGCACCAAGGUGGAAGAAAACAACAAUUUAAUGUUUUAUGGUAUGAAAUGCAAAAAUAUUACUGUACUGCAUGUG